rnacentral:rRNA from 2 species
CCAGGUGGUUAUGGCACAGGUGUCCCACCCGAUCCCAUUCCGAACUCGGCCGUGAAAGCUUGUAGCGCCGAUGGUACUUUGUCUUAAGGCACGGGAGAGUAGGUCGUCGCCUGGU